UUCUUUUACCUUUUGGUGGAAUCAUUAACCCACUUUCAGUUAAUCAUUUGUUCGUAACCAUAGGUAGUAAAAGGCACUUUCAUCUUGCUUGCUAAUUUUAGACAAAAACUGACUUUGAGUUCUUGCUGUGUAAAAUGCAUUCUACCCUGUUUGCAUACAGAAGUUAAAAAAAAAAAAACUUGUUUCUUUAUGCAAAACUGUGUUUCUAUUUAUGUUGCUUUUUUGCUUUUUGAAAAUUCUGUGUCUCAAUCUGCCACUAUCUGACUCUGAGUCGGUCUUUUUUUUUUCCCAACCAGAACUCUUUAUCCUUCACAGAUUCUCUUUCUGUAUAUGCCUGUCUUCAUGUUCUUUUCCCCCCCUUGUAGGACUAAAUGAGUUUCACCCUGUUUAUUCUCCCCUUCUACACACCAAAAUGUCCCUCUUGUUUGGCAGUUCACAUCAAAGAGAUUCCUGCUUACAUGAGACCCUAGAUUCCCACCACACCGUGUGUGGCAUCACGGGUUUGCAGCUACAAGGGUGGAAAACCAGAGAGCUAAGUUACUUUUUGGUUCUCCAGCUUCUGAAGUGGAAUCUGGUGCUUUCUGAAGUAGGAGCAGCGGCAAAGAGAACGCAGAGCUCUCAGGAACUCAUCACCGGAGAUGUCCUUCAGACAUGAGAGAAGUGGUGUCAUUUUGGACCUCAGGGGGAGAGAUGUGUUUCAUCAACAGAUAAAUGGUACUCUCUGACUGAAACUGCUUCUGUCCAAGGGUAGUUCCCUGCCUGUUUCCAUUACCAUAUGCAGAAUAUUAGACCCAGGAGGGAGCGUUCAGAUCACUUAUCCAAUCUCUUCAUUUUACCAAUAAAGAAAAAUAAAUAAAGAGACCCCAAGAGAAGAGACCCUAUAAAAGUAAAGCAGUACUGAAGAAGAACAAAGUGAGAGGUUUUACCCUACCUGAUUUUAGAACCUAUUAAAACCACAACAGUAGUCAAAACAGCAU